GACGAACGCUGGCGGCGUGCCUAAUACAUGCAAGUAGAACGCACAGUUUAUACCGUAGCUUGCUACACCAUAGACUGUGAGUUGCGAACGGGUGAGUAACGCGUAGGUAACCUGCCUGGUAGCGGGGGAUAACUAUUGGAAACGAUAGCUAAUACCGCAUAAUAUUGAUUAUUGCAUGAUAAUUGAUUGAAAGAUGCUAUUGCAUCACUACCAGAUGGACCUGCGUUGUAUUAGCUAGUAGGUGAGGUAACGGCUCACCUAGGCGACGAUACAUAGCCGACCUGAGAGGGUGAUCGGCCACACUGGGACUGAGACACGGCCCAGACUCCUACGGGAGGCAGCAGUAGGGAAUCUUCGGCAAUGGACGAAAGUCUGACCGAGCAACGCCGCGUGAGUGAAGAAGGUUUUCGGAUCGUAAAGCUCUGUUGUAAGAGAAGAACGGGUGUGAGAGUGGAAAGUUCACAAUGUGACGGUAUCUGACCAGAAAGGGACGGCUAACUACGUG
rnacentral:rRNA from 1 species